CAGGAGAAAAGGAGGGAGAGAGCUGGAACUAUAUAUAAUGACUUGUAGGAAUUUCCAAAGUGUAUUGCCACGUGAAGAGAAGUUGAAGGUGACAUAUAAAGAGGCUCAUUCUAUUUGUGUAGAAACAACAAAUCCCCCAUACUCUUAUAUAUA